UUGCUUUCUGAGAGUUUCUACACUUUGUUUCUAUCAAAACCAAAAAAUUGGUAUCAAAGCCUUGUUCUUGAGUAACCUGUGAGGUGAGUGAGCCUAUACACCACAAUAUCUAGAAUGACCUCAGAAGCUUCACUGAAUGCACCGGCACCUCCAGUGUUUGAUGGAAUAAAUUAUCAAGUGUGGGCUGUUCGUAUGGAAGCCUACCUUGAUGCUAGUGAUCUGUGAGAAGCUGUUAGUGAGGAAUAUGAAGUUCCUCCCUUAUCCAACAAUCCAACUAUGGCUCAAAUAAAACUACACAAUGAGAGGAGGCAAAAGAAAUUAAAGGCAAAAGCUAGUCUAUUUGCAACUGUCUCAUCUACAAUUUUCACCAAAAUCAUGACACUGAAGACAACAAAUGAAAUAUGGAACUUCCUGAAGAAGGAAUAUGAAGGAAAUGAACGAGUCAAAGGUAUGCAAGUGCUGAACUUGAUUAGAGAAUUUGAGAUGCAAAGGAUGAAAGAAUCAGAAACAAUCAAGAAUUACUCAGACAGACUUCUUAGCAUUGUUAACAAAGCUCAAGAACAAAGGAAGCUUAUGAGACAAGAAGGAUCUGUGGAGGGUGCAUUUCAGGCCAUAUCUCAGUACAAGAAAGAGAUGCAAAGCAACAAUAAUAGCAGCAACAACACUCAACAGUUUCCACCAUGUCCUUAUUGUAAAAAAUCCAAUCAUCCACAAAAAAGGUGUUGGUGGAGGCAGGAUGUAAAAUGUCACAAGUGUGGUCAGCUAGGGCAUGUGGAAAAGAUAUGCAAAUCUCAACAGCAGCAAGGAGAAGUCAAGGCUGCUGUGGAAGAACUUCAAGAUGAGCAACUGUUUGUGGUAUCAUGCUUUGCCACUAGCAGCUCCUCAUAAACCUGGCUUAUAGAUAGUGGUUGUACAAACCAUAUGGCUUAUGAUCAAGGGCUCUUUAAGGAACUUGACAAAACCGUUACUUCCAAAGUUAGAAUUGGAAAUGGAGCAUAUCUUGUAGUAAAAGGCAAAGGAACAAUGGCAAUUGAAGGCCACACAGGUAACAUGGCGCUGGUGGUGUUGAGUCAGUGCUAGAGAAUGCAGGGUUUUAAAAAUUUUGCGUUACAGGCUCUUAUAGCUCAAAAUUUGCCUCAGAAUUUUGUAUCUCAAAAAAUUGUUUACAGUAUCAUCCAAACCCAGUUGUAAUAAACUUGAAAUCUUUGAAAAUAUCCAACACAUUCAAUUCUUCUAUCAAGAGUUUGAAGAGGUUGCACGCCUCAGAUGAGCUCCACUACUGGCUUUAAACAAUUCCAGGAGAGUGCAUCACAUCUCAUAAUUAGUUCUGGAAGUGGACAAGGACAUGGUUAUGAGGCAGUAGUUAUAGCAAUCAUUCUUUAAAUUUUCAAAAUCAGAAUUAUAACAAAGUCCCCUGCACCAGCCUCCUAAGAAUACAGUCAAGAAAUAGGUUAUUCUUUACCAACCCUCCGUGAAAGUAAAAGAAAAAAAAAACAAAAAGAA